GGGGGAGAGAAGGGAUGUCAUAAUUGGGGUUUUGAAUAAGACGACCUUUUGAUUUUUCAUUUUUUUCAUUGAAAAAUGAAUAAAAAUGAGAGGUGUUAAGCUUUUUAUCAUCCUAGCGUCGAGCUAUUUUUCCACAGGACCUCCCCUACAGUAUCGUCACUGCAGUAGAGUUUAACCACCAAGUUCGGGAUGGAUUGGUGUGGUUCCUCUACGCCUAGGACACCAGAAUAUCGAACCAUGAAUGAAGAAAGGCAUGAGAGAAAAGCCUAUUAGCUAAUGAUUGUGAGGCUCCAAUUCUUGACUGGAGGGGACACCAAAGGCCUCUGCCCUUCCAUUCCUUGGAUGAAUAGAGAGGGAGGGCAAAGCUUUUGGUUUGGCUCCAAGU
rnacentral:lncRNA from 1 species